rnacentral:misc_RNA from 1 species
GUUGUGCUAUGAUCACACUAGCAUCAACAAGUUAACAAUAGAUCAUAGCACAACCUUCCCAUCAAUGGGUUCCUGUGUCUCAAUCCAUAGAAAUUCCGAUUCCCCCAUGAAAUUCAGACUCUCACUUCCCUCCAAAACCAACGAUAUGGCAAUUCCCCCUUCACCCAUCAAACAUAUCAACACUCCUAUCAACGGCAGCGUCUUCCUCAAAUCUCAGACUUCCCCUUCUCACUUCGGUAGCAAAGAUGAAGCGUUUUUCGAUUCCCGAGGCUGGUUGGAUUCAGAUUGCGAAGAUGAUUUCUACAGUGUUAAUGGUGAUUUCACUCCUUCACGAGGAAACACUCCAGUUCACUCCAUCUCCUCCGGUACUCCUCGGAUCAACCAAGUUCAUGUCAUUGAUGAUCGAACUCCGGUCACCAUUCCCGAACUGUCACCAACAGGAAAGAAGAAGCUGGCUGAUCUUUUCAGGGAGAGUUCUAGAAAUGGCACUGACGUACAAGCCAAACAAACUCUGAAUGAACUUGCCCUGCAGUCGAAUCCUGAAACGCCUUACAUGUCAGGAAAAAACUCUGUAUGCAGCAGCGAGAGGACCCCGAAUGGAGAUGUGAUUGAGAAGGAGAGGCCAUUUGGAUCCGUACAAUGCUGCCUCCCAAGCUUGGGGUCAUGUCGUAGCUUCGGUGGUGACCGGAGGAAGAAGGCAAGUCCUGCCAUAGCUGUAUAAUACAAGCUUUGAUUGAAGAUGCCAUAAGCUGCAAAUUCCCCUCUGAUUCUGCCUUUGUGAGACCCCAAAGCUCAUGGAGCUCACAAUUGUUUAGAAAUGUGUAAAGUUCUGAAAUAUCAGAUACAGAUGCAGCAGCAGUGAUCAAGAGAUAUUGCUGUUGUUGAAGGCAAUGGUUAUAUAUAUAUAUGUUAGAUUCAUAGUACAGUGUCUCAUAUCAUAUCAGAAUAUGUAAGAAAACAAAGAGAGAGGAAGAAGAAAGGGAAAGAAAGUAAUAAGGC